GGGGCUGGGGCUCAGUGGUAGAGAGCUCGCCUCACAUGCGUGAGGCACUGAGUUUGAUCCUCAGCCCCA
rnacentral:tRNA from 1 species